rnacentral:rRNA from 1 species
GCUGGUGUAAAGACGCCAGUAAGUGGAUUGCUAGGCUUGAGGAGAGAUGAAGGACGUGGCAAGCUGCGAUAAGCCCGGGGUAGGCGCACGCGACCUUUGAUCCCGGGAUGUCCGAAUGAGAAUCUUGUUUUUUAAACACUCCGUUGCAAUGGCAGCGGAGAUCGAACCGUCGGAAUUGAAGCAUCUUAGUACGACGAGGAAAAGAAAUCAAUUGAGAUUUCCCAAGUAGUGGCGAACGAAACGGAAAUAGCCCAAACUGAAUCUGUUAUGGUAACAUAUCAGAGAUGUGGUGUUUUGGUUAUGAUAUUACGAUCCUAGAAUACAGCUGAAGUGUUCUGGAACGUACCGGCGAAGUGGGUGAUACCCCCGUAAGCGAAGUAGUAUAGGAUCUUAUCAUGACCCGAGUAGCUGUCCUUGGCAGUGGGCAGUGAAUAUAGGUGAAAGUAGUAUCUUAGGCUAAAUAUUUCUCAAGACCGAUAGUGAACUAGUACCGUGAGGGAAAGCUGAAAAGAACCCCGGAAGGGGGCUGAAAAGCGCAUGAAACUUACUGGUUACAGACGUGCAUGGCAUGAAAGGUGAUUUUUUCAUACUGGAGGUUCUAGCAAUAGAGCUAAAGGUUUGGAGGUCAAAUCAUCAGUGUCAUGCGUUCCGUCUCGAAACACGGGCCAGGGAGCUUAUUGUCAUGGCAAGUCUAAGCCCUUAAAGGUGAAGGCGAAGGGAAACCGAGUUCUCGCAACUUUUGUGAGGAGAAGCGUGUGAAAGUGCGUUGAGUCAUGGCGGUAAGGCUAGAAGCCAGUCGAUCUAUUCCUGAGCAAGCUGAAGGUGGGCGAAAGCCCGCUGGAAGGCUGUAGCAGUUCUGACGUGCAAAUCGUUUGUGUGACUUGGGAAUAGGGGUCAAGAACCAAUCUAGACUGGCGAUCGCUAGUUCCAACCGAAGCGUCUCGCAGGGCGUCCUCUGUGGAGAUAGCAUUUCCUGUAGAGCACUGAUCUUUUGGUAUGGGGGAGAAAUCCCUCGCCAUCAUUUCAAACUCCGAAUGGAUAUGCAUCGUAGAAGCAGGGAGACGGGUUCGUGUGACGUAAGGUUCACGACCGAAAGGGGUUUAACCCAGACUAAAGUUAAGGUCCCCAAAUUUUUGCUAAGUGUCAAGCUAAAGGGCGUGUUCGCGCCAAGACAGCAGGGAGGUAAGCUCAGAAGCAGCUAUCCUUUAAAAAGUGUGUAACAACUUACCUGCCGAGUGUGAGCGCCCCGAAAACGGACGGGGCUAAAGCAAAGUACCGAUACUUCAGAUACUUGUUAAUUUACAAGUCAUGGUAGGUUGGCGUAGUGAUUGGGUCGAAGCAGGGCAGUGAUGUCCUGUGGACCGAUUUCUAUUGCAGAUCCUGGUGGCAGUAACAGCAUAGUAGAGUGAGAACCUCUACCACCGCAAGCGCAAGGGUUUCCAGGCAAUGCGUUAUCAGCCUGGAGUUAGUCGAUCCUAAAAAUUACCUCAACAGAGUAAUUUGAAUGGGAAACUGGUUAAUAUUCCAGUACCUUGCAAACACGUUAUCAUCUAUAUGAUUUGCUUCUAGAUAGGGAAUGUAGAACCAUCGUUUUAUCUAACUGCUCAAGAUUCGGGGAGUGUCGUAAUGACGAGAACUGAUUCGAGGCAGGAAUGGCUUUGCGUUAGCAGAGUUUUCCCAAAUCCAGGAGACCUUGAAAGCUCGUAUAGAAAGUGUUUGUCAAGAUCGUACCGAGAACCGACACAGGUGCGCUGGCUUAGAAAGCUAAGGUGCUACGGGUAUACCGUAUGGCGAGGGAAUUCGGCAAAUUAGUCCUGUAGCUUCGGUAUAAGGGAUGCCUGCUGUUUUAAUGAGGAAUUGGGACAGCAGGUUGCAAUGACUAGGGGGUUCCGACUGUUUAAUAAAAACACAGGUGACUGCUAGUCCGAAAGGAUUUGUAUAGUCACUGAAUCCUGGCCGGUGCAGGUACCUAAAACUUGGGUUCAACCGAGCUAAGGGCCUGUUAACGCCGGGAGUAACUCUGACUCUCUUAAGGUAGCCAAAUGCCUUGUCGGGUAAGUUCCGACGCGCAUGAAUGGAACAACGAGAGCCCCACUGUCCCCGCCUACAACCCGGUGAAGCCACAUAAGGUGGACGAACAGUCAAUCAUCUGCCAUCGGGGAGAGAAGACCCCGUGGAGUUUUACUGCAGAUUGUGCUUGUAGUAUAGUAAGGAUUACAU